rnacentral:misc_RNA from 1 species
GAUGAAGAACGUAGCAAAAUGCGAUAAGUAAUGUGAAUUGCAGAAUUCAGUGAAUCAUCGAAUCUUUGAACGCACAUUGCGCCCGCCAGUAUUCUGGCGGGCAUGCCUGUUCGAGCGUCAUUUCAACCCUCAAGCACAGCUUGGUGUUGGGACUCGCGUUAAUUCGCGUUCCCCAAAUUGAUUGGCGGUCACGUCGAGCUUCCAUAGCGUAGUAGUAAAACCCUCGUUACUGGUAAUCGUCGCGGCCACGCCGUUAAACCCCAACGUCUGAAUGUUGACCUCGGAUCAGGUAGGAAUACCCGCUGAACUUAAGCAUAUCAAUAAGCGGAGGA